UCGUAUAAGCGCAUGUUAGAAAAAUAUAUAUUUUUUAAAAGAGGAGCUGCAGCGUAAAUUUUUUUUUUGCUUUUCAUUAGACGGUAGAUAAUAAAUAAAAGAUCAUGCCUAAAGGAUCUUAUUUGACGCAAGAAGAACGGGUGUCAGUUAAAUUGUUAAAGGAAGAGAAGUACUCAAAUCGUGCGAUUGCAAGGAGAAUAGAGAGGUCUGAGAACGUAAUCCGUAAUUUUUUAAAAAAAGGCAGUAAGUAUGGAAUAAAACCGUCAACAAAGGGUAACCAAAAACUGACACUCCGUCAAAAAGGGCAAAUACUCCUUGAAGCAACAAAAAAUAAACUAAAUUGCAGCCAAAUUAAAGCAAAAUUAGAGAUCGACGUAACACCUCGUCAAAUCGCCAGGGUGCUCAACA